UGGAUCAAUGAUGACCACUGGUAGAAUAUGAAUAUGUACGAUGGGCAUAUUUACAUACUCUGAGGUGCAU